CCUGCGGAGGGAUCAUUACCGAGUUUACAACUCCCAAACCCCUGUGAACAUACCUNAUACGUUNGCCUCGGCGGAUCAGCCCGCGCCCUGUAAAACGGGACGGCCCGCCCGNAGGACCCUAAACUCUGUUUUUAGUGGAACUUCUGAGUGAAACAAACAAAUAAAUCAAAACUUUCAACAACGGAUCUCUUGGUUCUGGCAUCGAUGAAGAACGCAGCAAAAUGCGAUAAGUAAUGUGAAUUGCAGAAUUCAGUGAAUCAUCGAAUCUUUGAACGCACAUUGCGCCCGCCAGUAUUCUGGCGGGCAUGCCUGUUCGAGCGUCAUUUCAACCCUCAAGCUCAGCUUGGUGUUGGGACUCGCGGUAACCCGCGUUCCCCAAAUCGAUUGGCGGUCACGUCGAGCUUCCAUAGCGUAGUAAUCAUACACCUCGUUACUGGUAAUCGUCGCGGCCACGCCGUUAAACCCCAACUUCUGAAUGUUGACCUCGGAUCAGGUAGGAAUACCCGCUGAACUUAAGCAUAUCAAAAACGGGGAGAGAAAGAUCAUUACCGAGUUUACAACUCCAAACCCUGUGAACAUACUAUACGUUGCCUCGCGGAUCAGCCGGCCUGUAAAACGGGACGGCGCGAGGACCUAAACUCUGUUUUUAGUGGAACUUCUGAGUGAAACAAACAAAUAAAUCAAAACUUUCACAACGGAUCUCUUGGUUCUGGCAUCGAUGAAGAACGCAGCA
rnacentral:rRNA from 1 species